AGUCGAACGAACCCUUUUGAAUUACUUGAAACUUCGGUUGAUUGUUUUUCUUUUUUGGGUUAGUGGCAAACGGGUGAGUAACACGUGGAUAACCUGCCUUGAAGUCAUGAACAGCUCAUCGAAAGAUGGGAUAAUACAUGAUAGUCUUACAUCUUCUUUAGAUCUUGUAAGUAAAGUUACGGCGCUUCAAGAGGGGUCCGCGUCCUAUCAGCUAGUUGGUGAGGUAAUAGCUCACCAAGGCUAAGACGGGUAGCUGGCGUGAGAGCGCGGUCAGCCACCAUGGAACUGAGACACGGUCCAUACUCCUACGGGAGGCAGCAAUUAGGAAUCUUGCGCAAUGGGGGCAACCCUGACGCAGCGACACAGCGUGGAGGAAGAAGGUCUUCGGAUUGUAAACUCCUUUUAUAUGGGAAGAAUAGAUGACGGUACCAUAUGAAUAAGCACCUGCUAACUACGUGCCAGAAGCAUCGGUAAUGCGUAGGGUGCAAACGUUAUCCGGAUUUAUUGGGUGUAUAGAGAUGCGUAGGCGUUUUUGUAAGUCUUUAGUUAAAGACCACGGCUCAACCGUGGAAGAGCUUCGGAUACUGCAAAAAUUGAGACAGGAAGAGGCGAACAGAAUUUCCAGUGGAGCGGUGAAAUGCGUUGAUACUGGGAGGAAUAUCAGUGGCGAAGGCGGUUCGCUGGUCCUUGUCUGACGCUAAGGCUCGAAAGCGUGGGUAGCAAAACGGAUUAGAUACCCGUGUAGUCCACGCUGUAAACUAUGGAUGCUAGGUGUUCGGUAUAACUGUUUUUUCCUUCGGGAAAAAAUGGAAGUAUUGAGUGCCGCAGUUAACACGUUAAGCAUCCCACCUGGGAAGUACGGNCGCAAGG
rnacentral:rRNA from 1 species